rnacentral:lncRNA from 1 species
GAAAAGGGCAACCAAGGCUUACGGUGGGGAAAACAGAGAGAAAAGGAAAACCAAAGGGAUGACGGCUGAGGAGGCUAUGAAGGAAAAAGAGAGCGGCGGACAGAAAAAAGAGGGGGAAAAUGGAGUGGCGGCUAGGUUUUUGGGGGAGCUUCGUUUGGUGAGAGUGGUGCAACAAGGAGGGAGAAAAGAGGGAAAUCAGAGGAAAGGAUUGGGCAUAGAACGAAAAAAAUAGAAAAAAAGAAGAGCGAAGGAGGGGGCUGAGAAUAGGAGUUUCGGACAAGAAAAAAACAAGAGGAACCGAGAGAGAGCUUGCGGUGGAGGAGCUGGAAAAAGAAAAAGGAAAAGGGACAGGCGGACGGACUGGAAAGGGAAAAGAAAACUGGGCAAAGGAAGGAAUAGGGGGCUGGGUCUGCAAGAACCGAAAAAGAAAAGAGAGCUUCGGUGGUGAAAAACAGAGAAGGGCCGAGAGAGUUGAGGGCCGCGAGGUUUGAGAGGACUAUGGAACGGCUGAUGAAGCAAGAUUGAGGGGCGGCUGGGGUUUUGGUGAAGGCACGAAGGGAAAUGGGGGCUUCGGCUUCAUCCAAAAGGAAUUUUUUCCAAUCAUCACUGCCAGAUUUCCCAUCACCUCAACUGUCUGCCGCUGCCAGGGAAAUGUCACCACCAGCGCCGCCACCAUUCAGAUUCGAUUCAACCUCAGAAAUUGAAAGCACUGUAAGUUUCCUCCUUAAGUUUCAGUCCUUUUCAAGCUUGUGAAGCAUGUCUGCCGUGACUUUACUCGUGGCUAUGUUUCUGAAUUUGAAGUAUCCGUUCCUUAUGAUUUGAUUGGGUUAAAUUUUCUUGGGCUGCUGAUAAAUUUCUGGGUUAGUUAUGCUUCAAUUUAAGCAAAAAUCUGGUAGGAUUUUGAUGCCUACAACCUGUUCGAUGAAAUGCCUGAUUGGAAAUUCUAAUUGAAAGAUAACUGGUCUGCAUCUUCGUGUGAAGAAAACGGCUAAAUCAUCCAAUUCCUUUCUUUACGUUUGAAAAUUUUUGGUGCUUUGCUUAGUCACAAGAAGUCUUGGUUGGCAUGAAUUUCUGGUUUAUUGAUUUAGAUUUGCAGUUCGAAGCUUUAUUUACUACUAGUCUUCUAUUCGUUUGUCUCUGUUUGGCCGCAAGGCGUGAUUCAUGCAAGUUUGUGUUUUUAGACAAUAACUCUGGGUUCAUUUUUGCUAAUUGAAAUGUUCGGUGGUGUUUGGAUGAUAGAUUAGUUGGUCUUGUUUGAAGCUCCGCAUGAGAUUUUUUUACAUCAGAAUUGCGAAGAGUAUUUGUUGUUCAAAAGAAAGUUCCCUCGUGGCUUCGUAUGGGUUUUUCCAAAAGAAUUCUACACUUUGCUCGUGGUUUUUGCAUAUGAAUGAUUUGAUUCGUAUCAGAUUCCCUUUAGUAGAACAUGUUUGCAGCUUUGCCAUUGUUGUUCAUUUCUGCCCUUUUGAAUAAAAUCUGUCCAUUUGCCCCAUCCGAGAACCUGGGAGAUGUUUUCUGUGAAUGUUGAGUUUUUUUUUUUUGUUUGUUUCUUGAUUGCAAGAUUAUGGUUGGAAUCUUAGGCCCUUAUCUUGUGGAUUUGUUUUGAAGUUUCGGCAGAGCUUUAAGGCAUUUUAGUUGAGUUUGGAUAAAAAUUUGCAGCAGAAAAAUUAUUGUAGAAAGCCUCCCUAGCUGUUGAACCCUUCUUAGCAUAAAGCUUGGUUUGAAUUCUGGGUUUGCAUGAAAUCCUCAUCAUUUCUGGUUCUGCCAUCCUCCCGCAUGUAUGAUAGAAUCUUGAAAUGAUGAGUUUGGUAAUGGUUUGGGCUUGGGUUUUGGUUUGGGAAGUUUGUGAAUCUGCCCUGCUAAUUUGUUGAAGUUCAAAAGCAUGAGAAAAGUUGCAGAAAGAGUGUUUAGCUGUAAAAAUCGCAUGAGUGAAGUUCUCCGUAGCUUUGUAUGAAAUAACUCUCUGAAAGUUACACUUUGAUCCCUCAAGUCUCCCUCUAGUUCACCGAGGCCCAAAAUCUGGGAAAAUUGAAUUAAUUUUACCCUUUUGAGUUUAAUCCUCUGAUUGCACAUGUUAUGUGAUUUUUUGGAUAGAUUAAUUCUUGAUUUGUGGGUCAUAUUUGUGGCUUAAUAAUUUUGUUGAUUUGUUUAUCUUGUUGGGUUUAAUGAAAUAAGUGUUUGGGCUAAGAGGUUAUUUUGUGUUUGGGUUUAAGAAAGUUGUUUUAGUUUAUUUUGUUUGUUUUUUCUGGUUUGGGCCAAGGGGUAGAAGCCCACCGGUUUUGUUGGUUAAUCUUUGGGCCAAAAUAGCAGACUGCCCUACUUCUCUUACCUUGGGUUUUCGGUUGGGCUUGGAAGGUUUUGGCCCAAGCAAAUAAGAAAAAUGGCCCAAUGGUUUGAUCCAUUAAGAAACCAGAAAACUAUUUUGCAGAUCAGUCCCUGUAUUUUCCUUUAACUCUACUGUGGCCCUCAAAACUUUCAGUUUCUUUCGAUUAGGUCCUUAAUUUAAUUGCCAUUGGGUCCCUAAACUUUAUUUCUCUUUAAUUGUGACCCCAAAACUUUGUUAAUGUUUGCAAUCAAGUCUUGUAUUCUUUUGACUUUUUGAAUGUGGGUUGUCUAUAUGAUUUAAUUGAUUCAAUUUCAUGAUUAUCUUUUGAUUAAAAUGAUGCCUUGACCUUUUUUAUUAUUUUGGAGGGCAAAUAAAUAAUUUCUCCUCAUUAGGAGUGCCAAUUCAAGGGAGGUA